rnacentral:rRNA from 1 species
AUUGAACGCUGGCGGCAGGCCUAACACAUGCAAGUCGAGCGGAGCGGCGGACGGGAGAGUAAUGCCUAGGAAUCUGCCUGGUAGUGGGGGCUAAGGUCAGGAAACGGGCGCGAAGACAGCAUACUAUCAGAUGAGGCUAGGUCGGAUUGGCUAGUUGGUGGGGUAAAGGCCUACCAAGGCGACGAUCCGUAACUGGUCUGAGUGGAUGAUCAGUCACACUGGAACUGAGACACGGCCCAGACUCCUACGUGAGGCAGCAGUGGGGAAUAUUGGACAAUGGGCGAAAGCCUGAUCCAGCCAUGCCGCGUGUGUGAAGAAGGUCUUCGGAUUGUAAAGCACUUUAAGUUGGGAGGCGUUACCAACAGAAUAAGCACCGGCUAACUUCGUGCCAGCAGCCGCGGUAAUAC